rnacentral:rRNA from 1 species
ACGAACGCUGGCGGCAUGCCUAACACAUGCAAGUCGAACGAGACUUUCGGGUCUAGUGGCGCACGGGUGCGUAACGCGUGGGAACCUGCCCUUAGGUUCGGAAUAACUCCCCGAAAGGGGUGCUAAUACCGGAUAAUGUCUUCGGACCAAAGAUUUAUCGCCUUUGGAUGGGCCCGCGUUGGAUUAGCUAGUUGGUAGGGUAAAAGCCUACCAAGGCGACGAUCCAUAGCUGGUCUGAGAGGAUGAUCAGCCACACUGGGACUGAGACACGGCCCAGACUCCUACGGGAGGCAGCAGUGGGGAAUAUUGGACAAUGGGCGAAAGCCUGAUCCAGCAAUGCCGCGUGAGUGAUGAAGGCCUUAGGGUUGUAAAGCUCUUUUACCCGGGAUGAUAAUGACAGUACCGGGAGAAUAAGCUCCGGCUAACUCCGUG